rnacentral:rRNA from 1 species
UAAUACGUAGGGUGCAAGCGUUAAUCGGAAUUACUGGGCGUAAAGCGUGCGCAGGCGGUUUUGUAAGCCAGAUGUGAAAUCCCCGGGCUUAACCUGGGAACUGCAUUUGGGACUGCAAGGCUGGAGUACGGCAGAGGGGGGUGGAAUUCCUGGUGUAGCAGUGAAAUGCGUAGAUAUCAGGAGGAACACCGAUGGCGAAGGCAGCCCCCUGGGCUAUUACUGACGCUCAUGCACGAAAGCGUGGGGAGCAAACAGG